rnacentral:rRNA from 1 species
GGGUGAGUAACGCGUGGGCAACCUGCCUUACACAGGGGGAUAACAAUUAGAAAUGAUUGCUAAUACCGCAUAAGACCCCAGUACCGCAUGGUACAGGGGUAAAAACUGAGGUGGUGUAAGAUGGGCCCGCGUCUGAUUAGGUAGUUGGUGGGGUAGAAGCCUACCAAGCCGACGAUCAGUAGCCGACCUGAGAGGGCGACCGGCCACAUUGGGACUGAGACACGGCCCAAACUCCUACGGGAGGCAGCAGUGGGGAAUAUUGCACAAUGGGGGAAACCCUGAUGCAGCGACGCCGCGUGAGUGAGGAAGUAUUUCGGUAUGUAAAGCUCUAUCAGCAGGGAAGAAAAUGACGGUACCUGACUAAGAAGCCCCGGCUAACUACGUGCCAGCAGCCGCGGUAAUACGUAGGGGGCAAGCGUUAUCCGGAUUUACUGGGUGUAAAGGGAGCGUAGACGGAAUUGCAAGUCUGAUGUGAAAAUCCGGGGCCCAACCCCGGAACUGCAUUGGAAACUGUAUUUCUAGAGUGUCGGAGAGGCAAGUGGAAUUCCUGGU